UCAACGGAGAGUUUGAUCCUGGCUCAGGACGAACGCUGGCGGUGUGCCUCAAACAUGCAAGUCGAGGGAGGGUUGGCGCCUAGCCAACUAGGCGUUUCAACUCUACCGGCGAACGGGUGAGUAACACGUGGGUAACCUGCCCUGAAGACGGGGACAACCUCGGGAAACCGGGGCUAAUACCCGAUACCCUCCUCGGGGGGCAUCCUCUGGGGAGGAAAGAUCGCAAGAUCGCUUCAGGCGGGGCCCGCGGCCUAUCAGCUCGUUGGUGGGGUAACGGCCCACCAAGGCGAUGACGGGUAGCUGGUCUGAGAGGACGGCCAGCCACACUGGGACUGAGACACGGCCCAGACUCCUACGGGAGGCAGCAGUUGGGAAUCUUGGGCAAUGGGCGCAAGCCUGACCCAGCGAC
rnacentral:rRNA from 1 species